AUCUAUGAUGAGAUAGAAUCAUGGAUCGGCUGCCUCCUGCAGACCCCCCACUGGGGAUGAAGCCCACCACCCCGGCAUGUGCCCUGGAAUCAAACUGUGACCUCCUAGUUCACAGAACAAUGCUCAACCACUGAGCUACACCAGACAGGCUAGGUUUCUGAUACGGAUGUAAAACAUGUAAAUUUUCAGCUUUUAUUCCUAAUAUGUGCAUAAAUGAGUACACAUUUUUCACCAUAUGUUUUGGUAUGUACUGUUAUCAUUUACUUCAAAUUAUUUUCUAACUUGAAUUGUGAUGUAUUUUGGGGGUUAUUUAGAAGUGUAUUUGAUAAAUCUUAAAUAUUAGGAGUUUGUAGGUGCCUUCUGUUCCUGAUUUGUAGAUUAACUGCAAUGACAACAAGAAACGUACUGUAUAUAAUUUCAUUUCUUUGAAGUUUGUUGAAACUUGCUUCAUAGCACUUCGUGGUCUCAUCAACUAUAAUUGAAGUGUGCCCCUCUGCUGCCACCUCGUGUGCAACUUGGGAAUAACACCUUCGUGCCUUUCAGCAGUUUUGAAGAGCCGGCCUUGUGUAAUUAUCGGCUGGGACACAGCUAACUUCUGACACCGCUGCAGCCGAGAGAUCAUGGAUACCUGCCAGCAAAGCAAUGAAAAAAUAUCCUUGGGUGAGGAUUAAAAAACAAAAUAAAACAAAACCAAAACCUUUGCCCUACCCAUUGUGACUAACUUGGUUGAGCAUCAUCCCAUGCAUCAAAAGGUCACCUGUUCAAUUCCAGGUCUGGAUACAUGCCCAGGUUGUGGGUUCAACAAAAGGCAACUGAUGAAUCUCACCGUUUGUGAUUGAUAUACCUCUCACAUGGAUGUUUCUCUCUUUUUCCCUCUGUUUUCCUAUCUCUGAAAUCAAUAAAACCGUAUUUAAAAACCCAAAUAAAGAAAACAGGUAAAACCCUUAAAACAAAGGUGUGCGUGGUUCCUCCUGUGUCUUCCCUUCUCUUAUUUCCUGUUUUUACUUUGUUUCUUCUAAGCUCUAAAGGUCCCUGUCCCUGUGAGACUUGCAGUGGGGGAGCAGUGGGCAGUGGCACCUCGUCCGGGCUAGCUCCCUGAACUUGUCUCCAAGGGCCCCUUGAUCUUGUCUCUUCUAUUUUAAUCCCUUCCUUUGUUUCACUCUGUGGAUGAAAACAGGCCACUUGCUAACCUGACAAGGUUAGAGGUUAUGAGAACCCAGGCUAUAAGGUGAGACAGGAAAAAUGGGUGCCUGGUUUUUAAAUUUGGCUUUUCAAUUUGAAUUGUUUUCUGAGAGUUUGAACAAAUGCCUUUGCUGUGUAAAUGAGAGCUGAACUAGUUCAGCUCCUAAGAUAAGGGGCACGUCCUCUCUCCAGCCUGAAUU